rnacentral:tRNA from 1 species
UGGGGCGUAGCCAAGUGGUUAAGGCACCGGAUUUUGAUUCCGGCACUCCCAGGUUCGAGUCCUGGCGCCCCAGCCA